rnacentral:rRNA from 1 species
AUUGAACGCAGGCGGCAGGCUUAACACAUGCGGGUCGAGCGGGGAAGGGUAGCUUGCUACCUGACCUAGCGGCGGACGGGUGAGUAAUGCUUAGGAAUCUGCCUAUUAGUGGGGGACAACAUUCCGAAAGGAAUGCUAAUACCGCAUACGCCCUACGGGGGAAAGCAGGGGAUCUUCGGACCUUGCGCUAAUAGAUGAGCCUAAGUCAGAUUAGCUAGUUGGUGGGGUAAAGGCCUACCAAGGCGACGAUCUGUAGCGGGUCUGAGAGGAUGAUCCGCACACUGGGACUGAGACACGGCCCAGACUCCUACGGGAGGCAGCAGUGGGGAAUAUUGGACAAUGGGCGAAAGCCUGAUCCAGCCAUGCCGCGUGUGUGAAGAAGGCCUUUUGGUUGUAAAGCACUUUAAGCGAGGAGGAGGCUACUUGGAUUAAUACUCUAGGAUAGUGGACGUUACUCGCAGAAUAAGCACCGGCUAACUCUGUGCCAGCAGCCGCGGUAAUACAGAGGGUGCGAGCGUUAAUCGGAUUUACUGGGCGUAAAGCGUGCGUAGGCGGCUUUUUAAGUCGGAUGUGAAAUCCCUGAGCUUAACUUAGGAAUUGCAUUCGAUACUGGGAAGCUAGAGUAUGGGAGAGGAUGGUAGAAUUCCAGGUGUAGCGGUGAAAUGCGUAGAGAUCUGGAGGAAUACCGAUGGCGAAGGCAGCCAUCUGGCCUAAUACUGACGCUGAGGUACGAAAGCAUGGGGAGCAAACAGGAUUAGAUACCCUGGUAGUCCAUGCCGUAAACGAUGUCAACUAGCCGUUGGGGCCUUUGAGGCUUUAGUGGCGCAGCUAACGCGAUAAGUAGACCCCCUGGGGAGUACGGUCGCAAGACUAAAACUCAAACGAACAC